UAGAGGAAAUCAAGCUCAAAUUAAUGCUGGGAAUCUCACUGAUGACACUUAUUCUCUUAAUUCCCCUCUUGAUAUUCUGUUUUGCCACACUGUACAAAUUGAGACACCUACGCGACAAAACUUGUGAGAGCCAAUACUCCGUCAACCCAGAGCUGGCAACUCUGUCUUACUUCCAUCCAUCAGAAGGCUCUAAUCAAACAGUCUUAACCGAAGAGUCAAGCUUCCUUCCUCCUGAGGAGUCGGGUAAGGUGGUCAUCAUUGAAAGUAACACAGUGAAUGAGGCUGAAGUCACGGAAGAAAGAAUCUCUGAGUAAAUAACUUUAAUUCUUUGGUUAUAAAAACA
rnacentral:lncRNA from 1 species